AUUGAACGCUGGCGGCAUGCCUUACACAUGCAAGUCGAACGGUAACGGGCCUUCGGGUGCCGACGAGUGGCGAACGGGUGAGUAAUACAUCGGAACGUGCCCGAUCGUGGGGGAUAACGAGGCGAAAGCUUUGCUAAUACCGCAUACGAUCUACGGAUGAAAGCAGGGGACCGCAAGGCCUUGCGCGGACGGAGCGGCCGAUGGCAGAUUAGGUAGUUGGUGGGAUAAAAGCUUACCAAGCCGACGAUCUGUAGCUGGUCUGAGAGGAUGAUCAGCCACACUGGGACUGAGACACGGCCCAGACUCCUACGGGAGGCAGCAGUGGGGAAUUUUGGACAAUGGGCGCAAGCCUCAUCCAGCCAUGCCGCGUGCAGGAUGAAGGCCUUCGGGUUGUAAACUGCUUUUGUACGGAACGAAAAGCCUUCUUUUAAUACAGGAGGGUCAUGACGGUACCGUAAGAAUAAGCACCGGCUAACUACGUG
rnacentral:rRNA from 1 species